GGAACACCAAUGCCGAAGGCAGGACUCUGGGCCAUACCUGACACUGAGGAGCGAAAGCGUGGGGAGCGAACAGGAUUAGAUACCCUGGUAGUCCACGCCGUAAACGGUGGGCACUAGUUGUGGGGACCUUCCACGGUCUCUGCGACGCAGCUAACGCAUUAAGUGCCCCGCCUGGGGAGUACGAUCGCAAGAUUAAAACUCAAAGGAAUUGACGGGGCCCCGCACAAGCAGCGGAGCAUGCGGCUUAAUUCGACGCAACGCGAAGAACCUUACCAAGGCUUGACAUAUACAGGAAUAUGGCAGAGAUGUCAUAGCCGCAAGGUCUGUAUACAGGUGGUGCAUGGUUGUCGUCAGCUCGUGUCGUGAGAUGUUGGGUUAAGUCCCGCAACGAGCGCAACCCUCGUUCUGUGUUGCCAGCAUUUAGUUGGGGACUCACAGGAGACUGCCGGGGUUAACUCGGAGGAAGGUGGGGAUGACGUCAAAUCAUCAUGCCCCUUAUGUCUUGGGCUGCACGCAUGCUACAAUGGCUGGUACAAACGGCUGCGAUACCGCAAGGUGGAGCGAAUCCGAGAAAGCCAGUCUCAGUUCGGAUUGGGGUCUGCAACUCGACCCCAUGAAGUCGGAGUUGCUAGUAAUCGUAGAUCAGCAACGCUACGGUGAUACGUUCCCGGGGCUUGUACACACCGCCCGUCACGUCACGA
rnacentral:rRNA from 1 species